rnacentral:rRNA from 1 species
GACGAACGCUGGCGACGUGCCUAAUACAUGCAAGUCGAGCGAACAGAUGAGGAGCUUGCUCCUCUGACGUUAGCGGCGGACGGGUGAGUAACACGUGGAUAACCUACCUAUAAGACUGGGAUAACUUCGGGAAACCGGAGCUAAUACCGGAUAAUAUAUUGAACCGCAUGGUUCAAUAGUGAAAGACGGUUUUGCUGUCACUUAUAGAUGGAUCCGCGCCGCAUUAGCUAGUUGGUAAGGUAACGGCUUACCAAGGGAACGAUGCGUAGCCGACCUGAGAGGGGGAUCGGCCACACUGGAACUGAGACACGGUCCAGACUCCUACGGGAGGCAGCAGUAGGGAAUGUUCCGCAAUGGGGGAAAGCCUGACGGAGCAACGGCGCGUGAGUGAUGAAGGUCUUCGGAUCGUAAAACUCUGUUAUUAGGGAAGAACAAAUGUGUAAGUAACUAUGCACGUCUUGACGGUACCUAAUCAGAAAGCCACGGCUAACUACGUG